rnacentral:rRNA from 1 species
UACGUAGGGGGCAAGCGUUGUCCGGAUUUAUUGGGCGUAAAGAGCGUGUAGGCGGCCAGACAAGUCUGCUGUGAAAACUCGAGGCUCAACCUCGAGCUGUCGGUGGAAACUGUCUGGCUAGAGUCCGGAAGAGGAGAGUGGAAUUCCUGGUGUAGCGGUGAAAUGCGCAGAUAUCAGGAAGAACACCUGCGGCGAAGGCGGGUAGCUGGGCCAACACUGACGCUGAUGCGCGAAAGCUAGGGGAGCAAACGGG